rnacentral:rRNA from 1 species
GAGUUUGAUCUUGGCUCAGAGUGAACGCUGGCGGCAGGCCUAACACAUGCAAGUCGAACGGCAGCACAGUCGUAGCAAUACGAUGGGUGGCGAGUGGCGGACGGGUGAGGAAUACAUCGGAAUCUACCUUGUCGUGGGGGAUAACGUAGGGAAACUUACGCUAAUACCGCAUACGAACUACGGUUGAAAGCGGCGGACCGCAAGGCGUCGCGCGAUUGGAUGAGCCGAUGUCCGAUUAGCUAGUUGGCGGGGUAAAGGCCCACCAAGGCGACGAUCGGUAGCUGGUCUGAGAGGAUGAUCAGCCACACUGGAACUGAGACACGGUCCAGACUCCUACGGGAGGCGGCAGUGGGGAAUAUUGGACAAUGGGCGCAAGCCUGAUCCAGCCAUGCCGCGUGUGUGAAGAAGGCCUUCGGUUGUAAG